rnacentral:rRNA from 1 species
UUUAUGGAGAGUUUGAUCCUGGCUCAGGAUGAACGCUGGCGGCGUGCCUAAUACAUGCAAGUCGAGCGAACGGACGAGAAGCUUACUUCUCUGAUGUUAGCGGCGGACGGGUGAGUAACACGUGGAUAACCUACCUAUAAGACUGGGAUAACUUCGGGAAACCGGAGCUAAUACCGGAUAAUAUUUUGAACCGCAUGGUUCAAAAGUGAAAGACGGUCUUGCUG